rnacentral:sRNA from 1 species
AUGGUCCUGGAGCAUCCAGCCCGGGUGGAGCCUUUCUAUGCCGUCCUGGAAAAGCCCAGCUUCUCUCUGAUGGGCAUCCUGCUGCGGAUUGCCAGCGGGACCUGCCUCUCCAUCCCCAUCACUUCCAACACGUUGAUCUAUUAUCACCCCCACCCCGAAGAUAUUAAGUUCCACUUGUACCUUGUCCCCAGCGACGCCUUGCUAACGAAGGCGAUAGAUGAUGAGGAAGAUCGCUUCCAUGGUGUGCGCCUGCAGACUUCGCCCCCAGUGGAACCCCUGAACUUUGGUUCCAGUUAUAUUGUGUCUAAUUCUGCUAACCUGAAAGUAAUGCCCAAGUGGAUCUCCAGCUUGCAGCUGCAUCAGCCCCUCCUCCUUUCUCAGGUAAGUGAAAUGUUUACAUUAAAGCCAAGGGUAUGUAUGAGACAUCAAGGGGUCUUUGACAGUGGAAAGUAUCCAAGUGACAUGGCAGCAGAAUGUUACUGGCAGCAAAUCCGUAUGGGUCUGCAGCAACCUCAAUUCUUGCCUCCUUAGAAGACAGAAUUUGAGGGGCAUAAGGCAGAAGGAGAGACCGAGGC